UAACCAAUUAAUUUCAUAGAAUAUGGAUGGUAUUACACCAAAUGCUAUAGUUUUGUGUGGUUUUUGGGGUUA
rnacentral:pre_miRNA from 1 species